CAAUUUUGUCAAAUUACGCUAAGAAACAUUGAUAAUUAGUUAUUCACUUGCAAGGGAAUGAGUCGACUUCUUUAAAUCCGUAUUAAUGUGAACUUCAAUUUAACCCCUAGCUAGAGAUUGACAACGCAUGCAUGGUAUGUGUACUGGUUAUUUAAAGAAAAAAGAAUGUCAACAAUGAAAGUGAAACUGCGGCAAAUCAUUUGAUUACUAAUGCGAUGCACAUAAAAUCAUUCUUAUACGGUUAAAAACAGUGAGAAACAUCUAUUUUUAUGCCCCACCUACAAUAGUAGAGGGGCAUUAUGUUUUCUGGUCUGUGGCUCCGUUCGUUCGUUCGUCCGUCUGUCUGUGCGUCCGUUCAGGUUAAAGUUUUUGGUUAAGGUAGUUUUUGAUGAAGCUGAAGUCCAAUCAACUUGAAACUUAGUACACUUGUUGCUUAUGAUAUGAUCUUUCUAAUUUUAAAGCCAAAUUAGACUUUUGACCCCAAUUUCACGGUCCACUGAACAUAGAAAAUGAAAGUUGGAGUUUCAGGUUAAAGUUUUUGGUCAAGGUAGUUUUUGAUGAAGCUGAAGUCCAAUCAACUUGAAACUUAAUACACUUGUUGCUUAUGAUAUGAUCUUUAUAAUUUUAAAGCCAAAUUAGACUUUUGACCCCAAUUUCAUGGUCCACUGAACAUAGAAAAUGAAAGUGGGAAUUUCAGGUUAAAGUUUUUGGUCAAGGUAGUUUUUGAUAAAAUUGAAGUCCAAUCAACUUGAAACUUAGUACAUAAAAUGUUCCCUAUAGUAUAAUCUUUCUUAUUUUAAUGCCAAAUUAGAUUAUUACCCAAUU
rnacentral:lncRNA from 1 species